rnacentral:rRNA from 1 species
AAUGAGGGCGCACCAGCGUUGCAGAGGACGCCGUGGUAUGAGCUCAACGGCGAUAAGGCAGGACAGCCUGGGCGGCGGCGUUACCAAUCCUGGACGAUGGCGGCAUAUAAAAGCUUCACGAAGUCCAGAAGAGCAUAGACCUGUGAUGGCGUCCGUCACCGGGUGCCUCGCCGGCUGCGUAUGGCGUAUUCGUUGUCGCGUCCGUCGCCAGGUGCCUCGCCGGAUGCGUAGGGCGUAGGUCAAUCUGGAGGACCGCUUCAGUAUUUUUUUUUGUUUCUGUGCUGUUGAAGAACCCAUCCGGAGAUUAC